GGGGAGAUAACUGAUAACUGAAAGGGGAGAUUUUGCCGCCAUUUUCUUGUUAACAAGAGCAAAUGUGAUAAAUUUUACAGGUGUUUGACUCGGUAUUUUACAAACAAGUGCUCUUCGAAAGGUUGUAUAGUGAAAGAAUUGAUUCCAGUGAAGUAUGAAAUGUGAUAAAGAACUACCAUCUACAUCAUAGAUUUAAGGAUGACUACAAUAUCGUCAGAGUUUUCAAGGCUCCGGAAAACCAGUGCUGCUGCCUUAUCCAGCCUUCAGCCUACAAGUCAGUCUCAAGCUCUGCCUCCAAAACCAAAACCUGUCAAUCAGCCACCACAACAGAGGGCACAAAACAGCUUGGCCAGAGACCUUAGUGAAAGUCAAGACAG